UGCCACAGCAGACACACAGGUAAAUCAGUUACACCAGGACCCCCACCCACAACUCAUCAGGCUUUGAUUCAGCUGUGUAGUGCUAGGGCAAAUAACAAAACGUGCACCCAGGGGGGUCCAGCUCUGAGUUUAGGAAACCCUGAGUUACAACCAAUUCACUGUGUCACUACAGUCUCUUUCAUACUAUUUUCAUUGUUCUCUCCCUCCCUCUAUCUCCCCCCCCCCCCCUCUCUCUCUCUCUCCCCCCCCCUCUCUCUCUCUCUACAGAGUGUCCGUCCUGACUGUAACAGUGACACGUACACAGCUCUGAACAUGAGGACCAUGUCCUCUGACUAUGACACUUUGGCAAGUGUCCAUGCUGACCCUACCAGGGACCCCAACAGUGACACAUACACAGCUCUGAACAUGAAGACCAGGUCACCAGAGUAUGACACCCUGGCAGUGAGUUUGCGUGUGUGUGUGUGUGGCUGGUAUGUGUGUGGCUGGGUGUCCAUAAAAAUGAUGUAAAGUGCUCAAUCAGUGUGUCUUCUUUCAGAAUGUGAGACUCUCCCAGUGACACAUCCCCUCAGAUAGAUGCUGAGCCCUCCGAUUAU
rnacentral:lncRNA from 1 species